rnacentral:rRNA from 1 species
AGGAUUAGAUACCCGGGUAGUCCCAGCUGUAAACGAUGCAGACUAGGUGUUUGGACGGCCACGUGCCGUUCUAGUGCCGCAGGGAAGCUGUUAAGUCUGCCGCCUGGGGAGUACGAUCGCAAGAUUGAAACUUAAAGGAAUUGGCGGGGGAGCACCACAAGGGGUGAAGCUUGCGGUUUAAUUGGAGUCAACGCCGGAAAUCUCACCGGGAGCGACAGCAGAGUGAAGGCCAGAUUAAAGGUCUUGCCAGACAAGCUGAGAGGAGGUGCAUGGCCGUCGCCAGUUCGUGCCGUGAGGUGUCCUGUUAAGUCAGGCAACGAUCGAGACCCGCAUCCACUGUUGCUACUAGCUUUGUGCUGGGCACACUGUGGAGACCGCCACUGAUAAAGUGGAGGAAGGAGCGGGCCACGGCAGGUCAGUAUGCCCCGAAUCUCCCGGGCCACACGCGAGCUGCAAUGGCAGGUACAAUGAGUUCCGACCUCGAAAGGGGAAGGCAAUCUCGAAAGCCUGCCGUAGUUGGGAUCGAGGGUUGUAACCCAUCCUCGUGAACAUGGAAUCCCUAGUAAUCGCGUGUCAUCAGCGCGCGGUGAAUACGUCCCUGCUCCUUGCACACACCGCCCGUCGUUCCACCCGAGCGACUCUUGGGUGAGGCGCCGUCCUCUGUGGCGGCGUCGAAUCUAAGUUUCGUGAGGGGGGAAAAGUCGUAACAAG